rnacentral:misc_RNA from 1 species
UUUCCGUAGGUGAACCUGCGGAAGGAUCAUUAACGAGUUAGGGUCGUCUAGGCCCGACCUCCCAACCCUUUGUUUACUGAACCAUUGUUGCCUCGGUGGGUCCGUCUUACGACCGCCGGGGGAUCGCCGCGAGGCGCCCCCUGGCCGGCGCCCACCGAUAGCCCAACCUUUAAAACCCUUUGUGAAUCGUGUCUUAUGUCUAAAUUUAUGAUUAACAAUCAAAACAAAACUUUCAACAACGGAUCUCUUGGUUCUG